rnacentral:lncRNA from 10 species
UUUGCCAGAGAGUGUUUGAAGAAAUAUCUUUAGGUAGACAAAAGGCUGCCACAUAACGUGAGCAGGCUCAGGGGACACUCCUUGGGUCAGAAGUUGGUGCUGCGGGCUUGGUCAAGGUGUGGCAGCCACUCAGCCCUGACCGUGCUGUCUGUGCCUAUGGAGUCUUUGAUAGACUGGAGCUGGGCAGACCAGAAGGAGUGAAAGAACGGCCUAACGAGGGGCACAGGCACAACCACAGUGGAGAUGGUCUGAGAAGGCCUCGCAGCACAGAUGCUGAGGGGGAUGCAGCGACCUCCUGAAGGGAGGCUGGAGGCAGUUUCCACACAGAAGGAAAGAAAAUGACCGGUAAGGGGGCUUGUGGCAGAGGAAGUGACUGACAGUGAGGGGCAUGCUGGAUCUGGACUGUGCUGACACGGCCACGGACACGGAUACCAGGGCCUACGAGCGCUGACCUUGAGCUGGGUCUGAAACAGAGACGGCACCUUGAAAUGACCACAUGCCAUCGAAGGUAAGGAAACUAAAUUGAAGUCCUGGAGGAAGAUCCUGAGCCAUGGGAGGGCAGCUCCACAUGCCACAGAGCAAACGAGGCAGCUUCACCUCUGCUCUGCUCAUACCGUGCUGGUGCUCACCCCUUCUGAUGGGAAGGGUGACAACAAAGUCAGCGGGCA